rnacentral:misc_RNA from 1 species
UCAUGAUCUCUUGCAAAGAUAUGGGCAUGUCGUUGCAGUUGACCUGACAAACAAGCAAGGUGAUGAGGGUCUAUUAAGUGCAGCUUAUGCAACAGAAAUCCAAAAGCUGUCAAGUGUGAGAUAUGUGUCGUUUGACUUUCAUCACUGUUGUGGAGGCUCAAACUUUGACAACAUACAACUUCUAUAUGAUCAGAUUGCAGAGGAUUUUGAAAAAAAUGGGUAAGAAUUAAACUAGACCAACAGUGUAAUUGCUUGCCAGGAAAAGACACUUCCAUUUGAGAAUGUUUAAUAUCCAUAAUACUGUUUUUUCUUGCUAAAAUUCACUAAUCCAGCUGAGCAGAUACUUUCUCAUAGACACAGACGAGAAG